rnacentral:lncRNA from 1 species
UUUCGAGUCAUGGGUCGCCCAGCACCCCAUAAUUAUGAUAUAAUUAAUUAGAUUUGCCCAAAUUCUUAUCCAAAAGCAUGGUAAAGUUUCUAUUUACUUGUAUAUCCUUAUAAAAAUUUCUAUUUGCACGCCUAUCCAUUAAGGAUAUUUUAGUCAUUUUAAUUUAAAACCGUUAAUUUUUUAACGGCGUUAGAUGGCAUGGGU